rnacentral:rRNA from 1 species
GCGAGUCUUGUAGCAUACAAGGCGGACGGCUCAGUAACACGUAGUCAACCUCACUCGUGGACGUGGAUAACCUCGGGAAACUGAGAAUAAACCACGAUAGAUCAUAAUGCCUGGAAUGGCUUAUGGUCCAAACAGUUUACUGCCAUGGGAUGGGACUGCGGCCUAUCAGCUUGUUGGUGAGGUAAUGGUCCACCAAGGCGAUUACAGGUACGGGCUCUGAGAGGAGAAGCCCGGAGAUGGGUACUGAGACACGGACCCAGGCCCUAUGGGGCGCAGCAGGCGAGAAACCUUAGCAAUGUGCGAAAGCACGACUGGGUCAGUCCGAGUGAUUCCUGCUAAAGGAAUCUUUUGCUUGUCCUAAAAGCACAGGUGAAUAAGGGGUGGGCAAGUCUGGUGUCAGCCGCCGCGGUAAUACCAGCACCUCGAGUGGUCAGGACGUUUAUUGGGCCUAAAGCAUCCGUAGCCGGCUCUGCAAGUCUUCGGUUAAAUCCACCUGCUCAACAGAUGGGCUGCUGGAGAUACUACAGAGCUAGGGAGUGGGAGAGGCAGACGGUAUUCAGUGGGUAGGGGUAAAAUCCUCUGAUCCAUUGAGGACCACCAGUGGCG